rnacentral:tRNA from 1 species
GCGGAUGUGCCCGAGUGGUUAAGGGGUCUGACUUGAAAUCAGAUGGUACACGCCUCGCAGGUUCGAAUCCUGUCGUCCGCG